GGUCUGGGUGACUGGUCUGCGUCUACCGCAUGUACUGGAAACCCGGAUCUUUCCUUCUGGAGAACCGCAUGCACUUUACUGGGUGUGCCGGGGAACCAGGACUUUUACUUUGAAAAAAUUAGAGUGUUUAAAGCAGGCUUACGCUUGAAUACAUUAGCAUGGAAUAAUAGAAUAGGACUU
rnacentral:rRNA from 1 species